rnacentral:snoRNA from 1 species
GCCACUCUCUUUGGCCGGAUUAAUGAUAAUAUAAUUAAUGCCGAUUAUGCGAGAGUAGGCAGAUUACAAUUUGGUGGGAAUUACGCCUUCGGUGCCCAUAACGGUUAUCAAAUCCGUGGGAAAACUAUCAUCCUUGUUUCCCUCCACA